UCAAUCGAAAAUACUUUUAAUCUGUUGAUUUCAAAUCUUGUACUUCAAUUUUCUUAACAUACUUUUUACGAUAUAAAGAACCAUAUUACCUAGAGAUUGUCAUUAUUUUUGUCGUCGUUAUCGAUAACAGAUGAAUAGCCGUACGUGACAGGCCCUUUCAGUUGCAUUU